CGCAAGAGAAGGACCUGCAGCGAGCCAAAUGCAUUUUUAGUGAAGCAGUCAUCAUUAGAAGAUAGUCGCCAAAGCGACCCUGUGCAACAUUAUGAUAAUGCAGUUGUAAUGAAGAAGUCCUUAGUAGAAGAUAGAGCGCAAAAAAGGUUCCGGCGUGAGCCUAUGCAACGAUAUAAUAAUGCAGUUCUGAUGAAGCAAUCUUCAUUAGAAGAGAGGCCCACAAAAAGUUCUGAUCUUUCUUCUGAUGCAUCCUCUCAUAGCCGUCAACCUAGA